GUAUCAGACAGUAGCUGACUCACAGAUAUGGUUGUUUGGACAAUGUCUUGGCUCUUGUCUUUAUGAUGGCUGUGUAACAAAAGGAGCUCAUGAGUCUUCUGCAAAGACAAGGAGGCACAGCAGGAAGUGAAGCACAACAGAAAUGAGGAAUAAUCCACAGUCUCAAAAGAAGAGAGCAAUUCAAGUGAAAUGGCAACUCAUCAUUCAGCAGAAAAUCCACUGUGGAGAACAGAGAGAAAUCAGGGGCACAAUAUUUUCAAAUGCUAAAGAAAGAAGACAGUAUUCUGUAACUCUUGUCCCAAUAAACACAUCAUUCAAGAUGAAGGGGAGAGCAAGCAAUCCUCAGAGGAAGGAGAACUAAAGAUUUAUUACCAGCAGUCAUGUUCUCUAAGAACAGAUAGGGAAGUAUCUCUGAACAGAAGAAAACAAUAAAACAAAGAACUCAGAACUGUGUGAAAGAAGAAAGACCAUUGUAAGCAAA